CCCCUCUUGGGAUCGCACCUGGAGAGUUUCCAGUACUCUACCAGUCUCGGCUAUGGGAGGAGAAUCAAGCAGAGGCCUACCCAUUCCAUUUCUAGCUUGGGUGAUGGCUAGACAGUGGAAGGCAAUCUGCUACAUGU